GGCCGGUUAGCUCACUCAGUUAGAGCGUGGUGCUGAUAAUGCCAAGGUUGCGGGUUCGAUCCCCAUUUGGUCU
rnacentral:tRNA from 1 species